GAUGAACGCUGGCGGCGUGCCUAAUACAUGCAAGUCGAGCGAACGGACGAGAAGCUUGCUUCUCUGAUGUUAGCGGCGGACGGGUGAGUAACACGUGGAUAACCUACCUAUAAGACUGGGAUAACUUCGGGAAACCGGAGCUAAUACCGGAUAAUAUUUUGAACCGCAUGGUUCAAAAGUGAAAGACGGUCUUGCUGUCGCUUAUAGAUGGAUCCGCGCUGUAUUAGCUAGUUGGUAAGGUAACGGCUUACCAAGGCAACGAUGCAUAGCCGACCUGAGAGGGUGAUCGGCCACACUGGAACUGAGACACGGUCCAGACUCCUACGGGAGGCAGCAGUAGGGAAUCUUCCGCAAUGGGCGAAAGCCUGACGGAGCAACGCCGCGUGAGUGAUGAAGGUCUUCGGAUCGUAAAACUCUGUUAUUAGGGAAGAACAUAUGUGUAAGUAACUGUGCACAUCUUGACGGUACCUAAUCAGAAAGCCACGGCUAACUACGUG
rnacentral:rRNA from 1 species